rnacentral:rRNA from 1 species
UACUAUACUAAAUUUUUUAAAGAAAACUGAAAUAUUAUAAGGUAUAAUCUUUAAAUUUAAAGAAUUUGGCGGUAAAUUAGUNUUUUNAGAGGAACCUGNUUUUUAAUCGAUAAACCACGAAAAAUCUUACUUAUCUUUAUGUAAAAGUUUGUAUACCGUCAUUAUUAGAUAAUAUUUAAAGAUUUAUAUUAUUAAAUUUUAAAUGUAAUUAAAAUAAAUUAGAUCAAGGUGCAGCUUAUGGGUAAGUUUAAAUGGGUUACAAUUAAAUUUAUUUAAUUGAUGGAAUUUAAAUUGAAAAAUUUUUAAGAAAUUGGAUUUGAUUGUAAAAAAAGUUUANUAUGCUAUAAAGAUAUAAGCUCUAAUUUAU